GGUUAUUCCGUUAACGAACGAGACCUUAACCUGCUAACUAGUCUGUCUGUGAACAACAGAUUGUACUUCUUAGAGGGACUAUUGUGCAAGAAGCCAAUGGAAGUUUAAGGCAAUAACAGGUCUGUGAUGCCCCUAGACGUGCUCGGCCGCACGCGCGUUACAAUGACUGGCGCAGAAAGUAUUUCCUGUCCUGGGAAGGUACGGGUAAUCUUAUUAAUACCAGUCGUGUUAGGGAUAGUUCUUUGGAAUUUUGGAUCUUGAACGAGGAAUUUCUAGUAAGUGCAAGUCAUCAGCUUGCGUUGAUUAUGUCCCUGCCGUUUGUACACACCGCCCGUCGCUUGUAGUAACGAAUGGUCUGGUGAACCUUCUGGACUGCGGCAGCAAUGCUGCGGAAAAAUAAGUAAACCCUACCAUUUGGAACAACAAGAAGUCGUAACAAGGUAUCUGUAGGUGAACCUGCAGAUGGAUCAUUA
rnacentral:rRNA from 1 species